CCUACGGGUGGCUGCAGUCGAGGAUCUUCGGCAAUGGGCGAAAGCCUGACCGAGCGACGCCGCGUGUGCGAUGAAGGCCUUCUGGUUGUAAAGCACUGUCGAAGGGGAGCAAGCCGCAAGGUUGAGAGUACCCUUGGAGGAAGCACGGGCUAAGUUCGUGCCAGCAGCCGCGGUAAGACGAACCGUGCGAACGUUAUUCGGAAUCACUGGGCUUAAAGGGUGCGUAGGCGGGUAUAUAAGUCGAGGGUGAAAGCCUCUAGCUCAACUAGAGAAGUGCCCUCGAAACUAUAUGUCUUGAGAGAGAUAGGGGCAUACGGAACUUCCGGUGGAGCGGUGAAAUGCGUAGAUAUCGGAAGGAACGCCGGUGGCGAAAGCGGUAUGCUGGAUCUUUUCUGACGCUGAGGCACGAAAGCUAGGGUAGCGAACGGGAUUAGAUACCCUUGUAGUC
rnacentral:rRNA from 1 species